UCACGGUCUCAAGCUUGGCUUGAUGUUGGGCCCUCUUGUCACCUGGUGACAGGUCCGAAAGACAAUGACCGGCGUAACAGACUCCCGAUGCAACGAGCUUACCACAGCAGGCAUCUGGCGGUUGUGUGGCCCGGUUUUUACCCUUUCUUUCUCA
rnacentral:misc_RNA from 1 species